UUUGAGUCUCCUGAAGGAACGUUAAAGACGAUGACGUUGAUAGGCCGGGUGUGUAAGCGCAGCGAUGCGUUGAGCUAACCGGUACUAAUGAACCGUGAGGCUUAAUCUUACAACGCCGAAGGUGUUU
rnacentral:rRNA from 1 species